rnacentral:rRNA from 1 species
AGAGUUUGAUCCUGGCUCAGAACGAACGCUGGCGGCAUGCCUAAUACAUGCAAGUCGAACGAGACCUUCGGGUCUAGUGGCGCACGGGUGCGUAACGCGUGGGAAUCUGCCCUUGGGUUCGGAAUAACUUCGGGAAACUGAAGCUAAUACCGGAUAAUGACGUAAGUCCAAAGAUUUAUCGCCCAGGGAUGAGCCCGCGUAGGAUUAGGUAGUUGGUGAGGUAAAGGCUCACCAAGCCGACGAUCCUUAGCUGGUCUGAGAGGAUGAUCAGCCACACUGGGACUGAGACACGGCCCAGACUCCUACGGGAGGCAGCAGUAGGGAACAUUGGACAAUGGGCGAAAGCCUGAUCCAGCAAUGCCGCGUGAGUGAUGAAGGCCUUAGGGUUGUAAAGCUCUUUUACCCGGGAUGAUAAUGACAGUACCGGGAGAAUAAGCUCCGGCUAACUCCGUG